CUUGACACAACACGGGGAAACUCAGCAGGUCCAGACAUGAUAAGGAUUGACAGAUUGAUAGCUCUUUCUUGUUUCUACAGGUGGUGGUGCAUGGCCGUUUUUAGUUGGUGGAGUGACUUGUCUGGUUUACUACGUUAACGAACGAACCUUAAUUUGCUAAAUAGGAUCAAGAACACGAAGUUCUGGCGGUGUGCACAAGGGGCAGGAACGUAAUCGGCGCAUGCUGUCCACUUGCGCCUACUAGGUAUUCCUCGAUGAAGAUUAAUAAUUGCAAUAAUCUAUCCCCAUCACGGUGCAUACUCAAAGAUUACCUAGACCUGC
rnacentral:ncRNA from 1 species